CGGAGAUGACAUCAUGGCUGAAGAUCAGCACGCAUGGUCUGCUUGCUCCCGAUCAGCGACCAUUCAAAUAGAAACACACGCACAUGGCACCGGUAAUGCACAGAUGAUAAUAAAAAGAGCUUGAUGUGAAAUAGUCUUCUUUGAACCACUGACCUGUCCACCGCCGCGUCGUCAUGCGGCCGUCGUGCGUCGUUACUCCGCGCCUGCCGCAGCCACCGCGCAUGUCUGCAAUACAAAUCAUAUCGUGCAGAGACAACAAAACACAGAUGUAGUGCACAUCUGUGCGGUGAAAGCAUGGGGUUCAUCCGAGUUUAUCUGCAGAAGAUGAGGAACGGGGUUCGGCUGGAAGCAGUCCGAGAGCUGGCCCGUCAAUACCCGGUGUUUUGCUUUCUGCUGGUGAUCCUGCUGCUGUCAACAGUCCUGCUGAACAGAUAUCUUCACAUACUAAUGGUGUUUUGGUCGUUUCUGGCUGGAGUGGUGACGUUUUACUGUUCUCUGGGACCCGAGUCGCUUCUGCCCAACGUCCUUACGUCCAUUAGGCCAAAAAUCAAGUCGUACCAACAGGAGCUCUUCCCCCUGGGUCACAGUUGUGCUGUGUGUGGAAAAAUCAAAUGCAAAAGGCACAGACCCACUCUGCUGCUGGAGAACUACCAGCCCUGGCUGGACCUGCAGGUCCCCUCCAAGGUGGACGUCUCCCUUUCAGAGAUUCUGGAACUGGUUCUGGAGAACUUUGUAUAUCCCUGGUACAGAGACAUCACAGACGACGAGGCCUUCGUGGACCAGCUGCGCGUGACGCUGCGUUUCUUUGCCGCCGUGUUGGUCCGCCGAACCCAGAAGGUGGACGUGGCUGCCCUGAUCACACGCAAGCUGCUGAAGGUCUCCAUGAAGCACAUCGAGGUCAUUAGCAAGGCCAGGCAGAAAGUGAAGAACGCUGAGUUCCUGCAGCAGGCGGCGCUGGAGGAGUACGGCCCGGACCUCCACAUGGCACUCCGCAGCCGCCGGGACGAGCUGCUGUACCUCAGGAACCUCACAGAGAUCCUCUUCCCCUACAUCCUGCCCCCCAAGGCGCUGGACUGCAGAUCCCUCACCCUCCUGAUAAGGGAAGUGCUGGCUGGUUCUGUGUUCCUUCCUUCCAUGGACUAUUUGGCUGAUCCCGACACAGUGAAUCAUUUAAUCUUGCUGUUAAUCGACAACUCUCCCCCCGCAGAGCCUACAGAACCAACCUCAGCUCUGGUUCCUUUCCUGCAACGCUACUCCGACCCACGCAACAAGAAGUCCUCGGUUCUGAAGCUGGAGCUGAAGGAGAUCCGGGAGCAGCAGGACCUCCUGUUCCGCUUCAUGAACUUCCUGAAGCAGGAGGGGGCCGUCCACGUUCUGCAGUUCUGCCUCACUGUCGAGGAGUUCAACGAUCAGAUCCUGAGCCCCGAGCUGACAGACGCUCAGAAGGUGCUGCUGCACGAGGAGGUGAGGAAGAUCUACACAACCUACUGCCUGGAGGAGAGCCUGGACAAGAUCCGCUUCCACUCCUUCAUCGUGGAGGAGAUACGCAACAUUGCAGAAGGCCCAUACGGAGAGGUGGUGAAGCUACAGACCAUGAGAUGUUUGUUUGAGGCCUACGAGCACGUCCUGUCUCUCCUGGAGAACGUGUUCACGCCCAUGUUCUGUCAUAGUGACGAGUACUUCCGGCAGCUUCUCAGAGGAGCGGAGUCUCCAGCCAGGAACUCGCGGAUGAGCAGAAAUAGCCUCAGUCUGGAUGAUAUCCGCUCCUGGGACUGGAGCCCCGAGUCCCCCUCCUUCUCCUCCUCUCUUUUCACCGCCUCUGGCAGCUCGUCCCCCGCAUCACUCAACCCCCUCCAUGCCACCUUCACCACCUCCCCAUACGGCCCACUCACCCACCGCCACACCUCCCCCAAGAACACGUCCAAACGGGGCGAGUCGUUUGGAAUCAGCAAGAUCGGCAGCAAGAUCAAAGGAGUGUUCAAGAGCACCACGAUGGAGGGGGCCAUGCUGCCCUCCUACGGCCCCGUGGAGGGGGAGGAAGACAUGGUGGAGGAGGCCAUGAUGGUGCUGGAGGACGACUCCCCCGUGGAGGCGGUCACCACGCCCAGCACCCCCCGGAACCUGUCGGCCUGGAGCCUCAGCAUCCCCUACGUGGACUUCUACGAAGACGAGGUCAAGCGCGAGCGGGUGCCCGUGUUCUGCAUCGACGUGGAGCGCAGCGACCGCAAGGCCGUGGGCCAUGAGACAGAGAGCUGGUCUGUGUACAGGAGGUACCUGGAGUUCUACGUUCUGGAGUCCAAACUCACAGAGUUCCACGGGUCGUUCCCCGAUGCCACGCUGCCCUCCAAGAGGAUCAUCGGCCCCAAGAACUACGAGUUCCUCACCUCCAAGCGGGAGGACUUCCAGGAGUAUCUUCAGAAGCUCCUGCAGCACCCGGAGCUGAUCAACAGCCAGCUGCUGGCCGACUUCCUGUCCCCUCACAGCAUGGAGUCCCAGUUCCUGGACAAGAUGUUACCGGACGUCAACCUGGGUAAAAUCAUAAAGUCAGUGCCAAGCAAGCUGAUAAAGGAGAAGGGGCAGCACCUGGAGCCCUUCAUCCAGGCCUUCUUCAACUCCUGUGAAGCUCCCAAACCCAAACCCAGCCGACCAGAGCUCACCAUCCUCAGCCCCACCUCCGAGAACGACAAGAAGCUGUUCACCGACGUCUUCAAGAACAAUGCCAGUCGCUCGGAGGCGGCGGAGAAGAGACACAACCAGAACUACUUCAUGGAGAUGAUCACGGUGGAGGGCGUGUAUGACUACCUCAUGUAUGUAGGGCGUGUGGUGUUCCACAUCCCUGAUUGGCUGCACCACCUGCUGAUGGGCGGUCGUAUCCUGGUGAAGAACACGCUGGAGGCGUAUGUGGACCACUGGCUGGGGGCCCGGCUGGGCCGCGUGGUGCAGGAGCAGCCGCUGGUCUCCCUCAUCACACUGCUCAGAGAUUCGGUUUUCUGUGAGGCCAGCCAGCCCAGGCCUGCUCAGGACAAGAAGAUGCGGUCCAAGCAGGCCUUUGAGGAGAUGAUGCUCUUCAUCCCAGAUUUCUUUACCAAAUGCAUCGGAGAGGAAGCCAAGUACAACGGGGUGCGUCUGCUGUACGACGGACUGCAGCAGCCCGUCCUAAACAAACAGCUGACGUAUGUGCUGCUGGAUAUCGCCAUUCUGGAACUGUUUCCUGAACUCAACAAGGUGUUUGUGUGGGUGGUGGCGUCCCAUGGAAACUGUGGUGGAGAGCUUGUGCAGUAGGGAAGUGAGGGCGUUUUGGUCGCUGGUCGAGGAGCUCAGCCCACGUCCAGAAGAUGUGACGUGCAUCACUCAGCAUCAAGGAUUUGAGGCAUGCUGCCUGAAUCCGUUUGUGCUGAAGAUAGCAUACACAUAUUUAUAAGCAGGAUCAUGGUCCCCUUCAAGCCAGCACGCACGACCGGUUCAGAAGGAGGGGGGGGCUCCUCCUUGGAUGUAGAGGAGGAGAGCAAGCUGAAUCGCUAUGGAAACCAAGAAUACUGUAUAGGAGGAGGGCAGCGCUGUGCCGCUAUUGAAACCAAGGGUACUGUACACAAGACUCUGUUCUGUCUAGGGGGGAAACUGCCAUGGUUACUAUUUGAUUCAUAUUUAUUGUUGCAUGUGCAAUGUUGUGUAAAUAAAUACAUGUGGAGAUAGCUGAUUAGAGCAGGCCUACAUAGGCCUACCCUUACCCCCCAUAGGCUGCCCCUAACCCUACCUAGGCCUACCCCAACCCUACAUAGACAUAUGUUCGGGUUUCGGGUUAUUGCCUUAUUUAUUACUGCACCUGGUUUUCUUGGAUGGUUCCUAUUGUACAGUCAAUACAUGGGAUUGAAUCGUCUCAUUAUUUUUUUACAUUUGUCAAUGUCUAACGUGAAGUUGAUUAAACUAUUCCAGUUUA